UGGACAAUAUCAUACCAUUCUGGAGAGUCGUGUUCAUCUAACAUGUCCAUCCAAUAUCCUCGGAUUUCAACCCGGAGAAGCUUUCGCAGUUCGUAACGUAGCAAACAUCGUUCCACCAUGGGAGAAUGGUCCAACUGAAACCAAUGCAGGCCUUGAAUUUGCAAUGAACACAUUAAAAGUUGAGAACAUUUUAGUCCUUGGCCACAGUAGCUGUGCUGGAAUUCAGGGCCUUAUGAUCAUGGAAGAUGAUGCUAUCAACUCGAGGUUCCACUUUCUUCAACUCCCUUGUAUCUCAUAUGUAACAAUCCAAGCCCACCGCUAGCAGAUACUAUCUUUUUUGGAUUUUUCCUUUCGGGUUUCCCCUCAAGG